GUAACAAAACGUAAUAUAAAUCACAGUUCCGCCCCGUUUCAGUCAACGGCACGCCCCACAAAUCCUUACGAUCCCUAUCGUUGCCUUAUGGCCCGGUUCUCGUUGAGAGGUUUCGGAAUCUAAGCCCCCCAGCCCCCCGGGGCUUCUCUUGAGGACCGGGCCAAUGUUUUCAGUGGCACUGCAAAGGGCCGGCACUUGCCGGUCCUUUG
rnacentral:sRNA from 1 species